rnacentral:lncRNA from 1 species
GAGUUGGAGAAGGAAGAAGGAAGUCUGUGGGUUGGUCAAGUUGUGAGAGAGUGAGAGGAACUGUUAGGUGGAGUCAGAUAGAUAGUUGGGGUAAUCAGUUUGAAGUUGUUAGGAACGAAUAGGUCAGUAAAGAAACUAAGAUUAAGAAACUGACAAGAAGGAUGAACUGAAACCUUAAACUUGUUCAUGCUUAUAAAAAUAAACUUGAUUAUUUGUUAAUGUUAACAACUGUCUGGACCCGAGGGAAACGGGUUGGUGGCAGCGGGAAAGCAAUCACAGUGGUGGCACAGAGAUCAAUAGACUGUCAGACGUCUGGGGACCCUGUGUGAUCGCCACAGCGGGUGCCACCACCAAGAAGGCCCUCUGCCUGGUAGGACAGUGACUGUAGCAUCACUAGCGGCAAAAGACAAGGAGAGGAGGAGAGUUGACAGCUGCUUCGCCACUCUUUCCUCGCCUGGACUGCGGCACACGCGUGUACCCCCCGCACCGCUUUGUUAGGCAAGCCAUAGCAGGCUGCCUCUGUGCCCUGCCCGCUCUGCCAGUGGAUAUAUCAGCAAAAUCUCAUGAGUUCUCGCCAGAAAAUGCCAGCAUGCCGCUUCUCCCUGGGCCUGGCUACCCUCCUUGCGGUUGUGCACAUGAAAGUAGGCAGCCGGGGGCUGGCUCAGGGCAGGCUGAAGUUUCUAGGUGUGGCAUUUGCCCUCUUAGGUGUGUGACAUCAUACUGGGUUCAUAAGGAAAGGGUUAACUCAUUGUAAAAUGACUCACCAAUGGGAACCCAGGGGGCAGAGUUAAGUGUAUAUAAGGUUUAAGCACAGAGGGUUUUGUUUUUGUUUUUUUGGAGAGAUUUAGAAUUAGGGUGGAGAAGACAGUCUUGAGUUAGAAGAAACAGAGAGGAUAAAUCUGUGGGUUGGGCUAGUCUGAUGUGAGAGAGUGAGAGAAUUUUUUUUUAAGAGGAGUCAGUCAAACAGUUGAGAUAAUCAGUGAGAAGGUAUUAGGAAGGUAUAGAUACUGACAGGAAUAUUAUCUGAGAAACCAUAAACUUGUUAAUGUUUAUAAAAUAAACUUGUUUACAAUGGUACCUUGGGUUACAUUCGCUUCAGGUUACAUACGCUUCAGGUUACGCACUCUGCUAACCCAGAAAUAGUGCUUCAGGUUAAGAACUUUGCUUCAGGAUGAGAACAGAAAUCAUGCUCCUGCGGCGCAGCAGCAGCAGGAGGCCCCAUUAGCUAAAGGUUAAGAACAGUUUCAGGUUAAGUACAGACCUCCGGAAUGAAUUAAGUACUUAACCUGAGGUACCACUGUAUUUGGUUCACUUUUAACAACUGUCUGGACUCAGUGUUUUACCAGAGAGUAACAGGCUGGUGGCAGCGGGGAAGCGAGCACAGUGGUGGCACAGGGAUCAAUAGACCGUUAAACGUCCGGGGACCCUGUUUGAUCGCCACAGUAGGCCAUUGCCCCCAUUUGCCCUACUAAACAUGUCUCUGGUGGAAGAGAGAGAACUCAGUAUUUCUCAAAGGAGGGUCACUUAAUACAGGCAGCACAGAUGACCAGAAUCACUCCCCACCAGCCGCAAUCAGCUGGGUGUCUUUGGCUCGGAAUCAGUAAAAUAAAAAGUCAACUUCUAAAUUCUUAUUCCCACUGAUGAACCUAAAUUUGUUAGGGGCGGUGGUUGUUUCAUACAGAAUCCAUUCCAGUUUUUUAUUUGACCCCUAAAUGUCCCACUUUUCCUUAGGAUGUCUCUAUUUACAUCGAAGAAAUGUUAGAUGGUAUGGAGUUAUGCAACCCCUGAGCCUAGGAGAUAAGUAACUAUACAACCUUUAGAAGACCUCUGAAGGCAGCCCUGUAUUGCGCAGUUUUUUAUGUUUACUUUUUUGUGUUUUUAUAUAUGUUGGAAGCCACCCAGAGUGGCCAGAGUCAGAUGGGUGGGAUAACAACAACAACAACAAUAGAAUAGUAAAGGUAAAGGGGCCCCUGACCAUUAGGUCCAGUCGUGGCUGACUCUAGGGUUGCGGCACUCAUCUCGCUUUAUUGGCCAAGGGAGCCGGCAUACAGCUUCAGGGUCAUGUGGCCAGCAUGUUUAAGCCGAUUCUGGCAAACCAGAGCAGCGCACGGAAACGCCGUUUACCUUCCCACCGGAGCGGUACCUAUUUAUCUACUUGCACUUUGACGUGCUUUCGAACUGCUAGGUUGGCAGGAGCAGGGACCGAGCAACGGGAGCUCACCCCUUUGCGGGGAUUCAAACCGCCGACCUUCUGAUCGGCAAGUCCUAGGCUCUGUGGUUUAACCCACAGCGCCACCCACAUCCCUUUUAAUAAUAGAAUAAGACAUCCCUAUUUUCAUCAGAGAAAUGUUGGCGGGUAUGAGCUGGUUGCCUUUGGCUCGAAAGCAGUAAAAUAAAAUGUCAGCUUCUAAAUUU